UACGAAGGGGGCUAGCGUUGUUCGGAAUCAUUGGGCGUAAAGGGCGCGUAGGCGGCCGAUCGAGUCGGGGGUGAAAGCCUGUGGCUCAACCACAGAAUUGCCUUCGAUACUGGUUGGCUUGAGACCGGAAGAGGUAAGUGGAACUGCGAGUGUAGAGGUGAAAUUCGUAGAUAUUCGCAAGAACACCAGUGGCGAAGGCGGCUUACUGGUCCGGUUCUGACGCUGAGGCGCGAAAGCGUGGGGAGCAAACGGG
rnacentral:rRNA from 1 species